AACUUAGUAUUUUUUUUUUUGACAACGACAGGUUUAUAUUGCUAAGAAUUAAGAUAUUACACAUUAUAUUACGGGUUUCUUGAUCGAGUAUAGAUCUAUCCUUGAACCUCAACCAUCUGCCUUUUGGUUGAGUUGGUCCUUUGACAUAGUAUCAAUCAUUCAAUCAAAGAGCCAGCGUGACAAAAAGGUCACGAAUUUGAAUCUCAUCCACACAUUUUAUUUUUGGGACCUCAACCAUCAUUUUAAGCUUUUAUCUUAGGAAAAAUUUGGCUAGAGAGUAGAUAUUAGUUGCGCAUCCUAAGUAUACCGUGUUGUUUCUCUUUCUUCUAUCUUGAGCACCCGUGUAUUGGAGCCUGGAGGCUGGAGCCGAGGUACUAGUUCAUUAUGAUCCGUUUGUGACUUAUGAAAUCAUUUAAAUUUGUAUUAUUGUUUAGAAUAGUGAGUAUUCAAUGAUACUCCCUCCGUUCCAAAUUAAUUGUCAGCAAUAAUACUUACUUCCUCUAUUUCUUAUAGCUGAAAUUCGUACAACAUUUGCAUAGUAACCACUAUUCAUCUCCCCACCUUAUCACAUGUAUUUGAUUCCUCUUGAUGCAUACUUUCAUAAUAUUUACUUUUUUGUUGAUACAUUCUUAAAAUUAUUGAGGAACAAAGUAGUGCAGUAUAGCGUGUAGACAGGAAGUGUUGCAUGCAUUUAGAAACGAAGGAAUGAAGCUAGUAUGUUAUUUCUGCUUGUUUGUUACUUAGUUUAUGUGUGCUAUAUUAAACUGUUAGUAAAUUGAAUCAUAAACAAUAGAAAUAUCAUGUGACCACUUAUUCUGAAAAAACCUAAAAAUUUAUAUGCGACUAGGAGUACUAAUUUGGGAUAGGGGAGAAUUUAGUAUUUUAUCCGUACACAAUUUGGUUGGUUGCUUAAGUGUUCAUGAUGAGCUUUUGUGUAUGCUUGUAUAUUAGGAGAAGAAACGUGGUUGUUUACAUGUUUUGGAACGUCUUUGAAGCCACAAGAAGAGUCUACUAUAUUACGUGACUAUCAUGGUAACUAUAGUGAUAUAGUAUGUCACAUAUGGCGGACUUGUUUACUUUGCUUCUAUCCUCUCUUAAAUUUAGUACCAUUGAGUAAUAGAUAAGUAAAUAAAUGCGAGUUUGACCGAAAAGUUCUUUUACCACCACCACCACCACCACCACCGCUGGUGUAAUAUAAGAGAAAAUGCAACUAGUGGAGCAGCUGCUGACAAAAUUGUCACUGGUAAUGAUACAAUUCACUAUUGUUCCUUUUUCUUGAGUAUCAGAUGUUUUCAAUAGACUUUCAAUAUGUGAUGCCUUACGCGUAUUGAUAACCUUGUGCUGAUAUGUGUAUGGUUCAGAUGACCAGCUUGUGUCAUGUUCUGUAUUGAUAUGAAGCAGGAUAUCAGAAGAACUUUCAUGCCAGUAGAUUUUCGAUGAAACUUUCACCCGUUGCAUGAACACUUCAUGCGGGUGGAGUGUUCUGUGUCCGAAACGUUUUGCACAUUAACAAACGUCGGAGACGCCUCAAUAUAUGUUGGACACUCGAAAUGACGCCUCAAUAUGUGUACUGCAGGUCUUUGUGACACACCAUCUUUUGAGACUACGGUCUCACCUGAAAUAUUUGGUCAAACCUUGUUAUGUUACCCAAACUCUUAAUUUGUGUCGGUGUAUGCGUUAGAUCCUUGACAAUCUGACAUUUGUAUACCCACUUUAUCUGGUGCAUAUUUUAGUAUGUAAUAGCCGAGUCCGACACUAGAAAUGACAAAGACUCGUGUUUGAUUCAAGUACUUGGCCCUUAAAUGUUCUUCGUAGGAAAUGCGGCAAAAACUAGAAAGUUCAUUGUUUGUAAUUUCUUCACUUUUGUAUUUUUCUCCUAUUUUUUGGUACUUAUUCUUAUUUAGUUGUCCAGAUAAGGUAAUAUUUUAUUCUAAUGGGAAAUGCAUAAAUGACACAUUAUUAUAUUUGUA